GUGAGCAGAUGCUCAACCUGAGCGCGUCUCGAAAAACAAUAAGCGCUACUGUAUCUGCGGAAGGAGCGGCCGUCCAGCCGUGUCACGGGCACGCGGGUGAAGGGCGACACCGCGGGUCACGUGACCGCGCGCUCCGUCCGUGCGGGUAAAGGUGCGCGUGCGGGAUCGCGGCGCCCUGCGGCGAUUAUGAAGGACACCUCAGAGCAGUGAGUGUCUCGAUCUGUCCUGAGCCGAGCCGAGCCGAGCCGAGUCUUGUGCCACAGCGUGUACGGUCGUGGACACGGCGCGUGCAACAUCAUGUCCAUCAGUCGCAAGAACUGGUCCGCUCUGUCCAGCCUGACGCGGCAGUGGACGGUGGAAGAUGAGGAGGAGGUCGAGAGGGAGCGCAGGAGGAAGAUUCGUAGCCACAGCAGCACAGCGGAGCCCGAUGACAGCCCCUCGGAGGACUCAUCUCCAGCGGUGGCAGUCAGCAGUUCUCAGGACAGCCGCGACGCCCUGGAACAGGCCCAGGUGGACUUCAUAGAGAUGCUGCGGAUACGUGAUGAGAAGAGGAGAAGGAGGCAGGAGGAGGCACUGAGGCGACAGCGCCAGGAGGAGGACGCGCAGCAGGGCGAGGACCAGCGAGGUGUGGAGACAGGGCAGCCAAAACAAGCGGGCGGGGAGGAGGAGACUUGUGGGCGGAGCCAAGACACGCUCACCACCGAAGUGGUUUCCACCAUGGACAGCAAGGGGAGUGAGAACAGUGGAAGAUCUGAGUCCAAACAAGAAGAAAAGUUGGAAACCCCUGGAAAAGCGUCUCGGAAGUUUGUGAGCUCAUUAUCCGUAACGUUUGACAAGGGCCACAAGUCGCCCCCUGCUGGCAGCAGUACGGUCAGCUCUCCGUUGAGUCCCACAGGCUCCUUCAGGGCAGCAUCCCCUGAGCAGACAUCUGCUGACGUCAGAGAGAAUGGAGAUGCACAGGAGUCCCCACUUGCUUCACCUUCAGAGGGCUCCCUGGACAAAGGGCAGACGCCAUUCAAGAGGCAGAACUACAGGGCCUGGUCCUUCAGGAUCCCUAGUCAUGAAGAUGAUAAGCAGUCACCAUUUAAAAGAAACACCAGACAAAGGCUGUCUUCACGCAGCAUCCAGGAGACGAUGGAGAGGCUGGCACUAGCAGCACAGAAAUCGGAGAGUGUCAAAUCUCCCACGGCCCCCCAGAGGACCUUGUAUUUGGCAGAUGAGGUGUCCAGGAAACGGGAGCUGUUUGAGAAGGAGCAGGCGGAUGGGGAAUCAGACAGGGAUAACCAGCGUAGCUCCUUGAAGAAUCAAGAGAGUAGCAAACACUGGAUCUCCAGCUUUUGGAAGAGCAACUCUGCAGUGGGCCACUUUAACUUGUACAGCGCAUCCAUUGCCAGCAAGAGGCAGCUGUGGGAGAAGAGAGCAGAGGAGGCAUCCACUGCCAACAGGCCCCACAAGUAGAGGGUGUGGAAGCAUGUCCCAUAUAGAUUCAGAUGCAAAGGGAAUAUCAGCAAUGGACACAACUGGGAACAUUUUCUUGCUUUGUGUACUUCAGAUGAUCUCUUAGACAUUUCAUAAAGAGCCUUGGAGGUUUUAAAGUCCUUAAUGAACACUUUUAUUCUGAAUUCUCUCGCAGGAAGAGUUUUAGUUUGAAAUGGAACAUGUGCUCAUUUCAUUUUUAUUUCUUCUUCCUAUGGUUACCUGCCACUCAAUUCAGAUACUAUUUUUUCAAUAAAAGAGUAACCAACUAAUAAAACA
rnacentral:lncRNA from 1 species